rnacentral:rRNA from 1 species
AUUGAACGCUGGCGGCAGGCCUAACACAUGCAAGUCGAGCGGAUGAAGGGAGCUUGCUCCUGGAUUCAGCGGCGGACGGGUGAGUAAUGCCUAGGAAUCUGCCUGGUAGUGGGGGAUAACGUCCGGAAACGGGCGCUAAUACCGCAUACGUCCUGAGGGAGAAAGUGGGGGAUCUUCGGACCUCACGCUAUCAGAUGAGCCUAGGUCGGAUUAGCUAGUUGGUGGGGUAAAGGCCUACCAAGGCGACGAUCCGUAACUGGUCUGAGAGGAUGAUCAGUCACACUGGAACUGAGACACGGUCCAGACUCCUACGGGAGGCAGCAGUGGGGAAUAUUGGACAAUGGGCGAAAGCCUGAUCCAGCCAUGCCGCGUGUGUGAAGAAGGUCUUCGGAUUGUAAAGCACUUUAAGUUGGGAGGAAGGGUAGUAAGUUAAUACCUCGCUGUUUUGACGUUACCAACAGAAUAAGCACCGGCUAACUUCGUG